rfam:Veillonella sp. CAG:933 genomic scaffold, scf204
UGCGGAGAUAGAGGCGCGAUGCUUAAGAGUACUUGUAAGGAGCCCGGCAAGGCUGUGAGAUAUGAAGAAAGGGAGAAUCGUCGAAGCUUGUUUGUGCCGACAAACAUAGCUGGUUGUGCAUUGAAUAAGUGUAUGACUGUCAUCAUUUGAUGGAGUGCUAGCUCAUUG